rnacentral:rRNA from 1 species
CCUACGGGGCGCAGCAGUGGGGGAUAUUGCACAAUGGGGGGAACCCUGAUGCAGCGACGCCGCGUGGGUGAAGGAGCGUUUCGGCGCGUAAAGCCCUAUCGGCAGGGAAGAAGGAGGACGGUACCUGACUAAGAAGCCCCGGCUAACUACGUGCCAGCAGCCGCGGUAAUACGUAGGGGGCAAGCGUUAUCCGGAUUUACUGGGUGUAAAGGGGGCGCAGACGGCAGCGCAAGCCAGGAGUGAAAGCCCGGGGCCCAACCCCGGGACUGCUCUUGGAACUGCGCGGCUGGAGUGCAGGAGGGGCAGGCGGAAUUCCUGGUGUAGCGGUGAAAUGCGUAGAUAUCAGGAGGAACACCGGCGGCGAAGGCGGCUUACUGGACUGUAACUGACGUUGAGGCUCGAAGGCGUGGGGAGCAAACAGGAUUAGAUACCCUGGUAGUC